rnacentral:rRNA from 1 species
UACGUAGGGUGCGAGCGUUGUCCGGAAUUAUUGGGCGUAAAGAGCUUGUAGGCGGUCUGUCGCGUCUGCUGUGAAAAUCCGGGGCUCAACCCCGGACUUGCAGUGGGUACGGGCAGACUAGAGUGUGGUAGGGGAGACUGGAAUUCCUGGUGUAGGCGGUGAAAUGCGCAGAUAUCAGGAGGAACACCGAUGGCGAAGGCAGGUCUCUGGGCCACUACUGACGCUGAGAAGCGAAAGCAUGGGGAGCGAACAGG